UGAUAUGAAUUUUUUUUUUUUUUUUUUGGUCGCCACUGUUUAAAGCGGUUGUUUGAUAUCCUUUACUCUCUAAUAAAGUGUAAUUAGGGAUCGAUUUCUGCUUCAAGCGAGAUAGGUGCAGGAAGACUGUCGAUAAGCAGAACAAGAGCGAGCUGGGACUGACUCGUGUACUUCGCUUGUUUAUUAAAUGAAUCAAACACAAGCUGGCUCGUUAAAAUCUCGAGCUGAAAAAUUUAGCUCGUAUUCGGCUUUGAAAGAAAAUUAGAAAAUUAGAAUUUACAAAAUAGAGGCUUCUUUAUAUUUGAGUUGGCCUAAAAUCAAAAUAGUAGAAAUUUAUAUAAUAUAUAUGUAUAUAUUUAAGUUAUAUAGAGUCGAAUAUGAACGAGCUUAUCCCAGCUCAUAUUCAGCUUAUUAAGAUUUCGGGCUGAAAAAUUUAGCUCGUGAUCGGCUCGUUUAAUAAACAAGUCGAUUGAUCUCGGGUUCAUUUCGAGUAGAACACGAGCUGGCUUGCGAAUAACGAACUGAAUUGCCAGCCCUAGGUGCAGGUGAGUGCGUAUAUGGUUCACAAACCGAGAUAAU
rnacentral:lncRNA from 1 species